ensembl:lncRNA
UACAAAAAUACUACAUUUGAAAAAGGAUUCUUGAAAGUGCAGUACCUUUGUGUGACCACAAGAUGUAGGUGUCACAUAACCUAUGAACCUACCCUAUGUUAAAAUCAUACACACUUGUAAAGACUGUUGUACGGUCACAUUGGAUUUGAAAGCAACAUCCUUUCUUCCAUACAUCCACGCUACCUGAAAGACGACAGCUUCCUGAAUCCAACGAUACCAGAUAUGUGCACAUCGGACCUCCGCUUCAAAAGAUACGGCCAGAUACUACAAAAAUACUACAUUUGAAAAAGGAUUCUUGAAAGUGCAGUACCUUUGUGUGACCACAAGAUGUAGGUGUCACAUAACCUAUGAACCUACCCUAUGUUAAAAUCAUACACACUUGUAAAGACUGUUGUACGGUCACAUUGGAUUUGAAAGCAACAUCCUUUCUUCCAUACAUCCACGCUGCCUGAAAGACGACAGCUUCCUGAAUCCAACGAUACCAGUUAUGUGCACAUCGGACCUCCGCUUCAAAAGAUACGGCCAGACUGUUGUACGGUCACAUUGGAUUUGAAAGCAACAUCCUUUCUUCCAUACAUCCACGCUACCUGAAAGACGACAGCUUCCUGAAUCCAAUGAUACCAGAUAUGUGCACAUCGGACCUCCGCUUCAAAAGAUACGGC